rnacentral:rRNA from 1 species
UACGAAGGGGGCUAGCGUUGCUCGGAAUCACUGGGCGUAAAGCGCACGUAGGCGGCUUUUUAAGUCAGGGGUGAAAUCCUGGAGCUCAACUCCAGAACUGCCUUUGAUACUGAGAAGCUUGAGUCCGGGAGAGGUGAGUGGAACUGCGAGUGUAGAGGUGAAAUUCGUAGAUAUUCGCAAGAACACCGGUGGCGAAGGCGGCAUUCUGGACCGAUAUUGACGCUGAGGAGCGAAAGCCAGGGGAGCAAACAGG